UUUGUCCUUGGAACCCAGCCACCAUGUUCUGAGGAAGCCCAAGCCAAACAGAGGUGUCCUGGCCAACAGAGCCAGCUAAGGUCUCAGCAGAUGACCAACAUCAACUGCCAGACACGUAAAUGAACAAGCCUCAUGUGAAUCCAGCCCCUGACAUUGUGGGCCCAGAUAAGCCAUACUGCUGGUGACUUCAUUCAUCGUGACGAGUCCACCAGAGUCCUGAGGCUGGGCUGGAGUUUGUCCAGGAAGGUGUAGCGGUUUUGAUUCCACAAGGGGAAGGAAGAAUGGAGCUCUCCACUGGUGAAUGAAGCAGCACCUGUUUUGAUCCACAGACCUUCUUGCAUCCACCUGCUCCUUGGAUGAAUUGUUAGUGGAAUGAAGCUGGUCCCACUGAGCUCCACAGCCUCGCCUUCUGCUCCCUAAGCCACACUUUUCAGCAUACGAGCAACAGGCCUUACCUGAGCCCGAGUCGCUGACUGCUGAAAAUACGAUUGCAGCUUCAAAAUGCAGAACCAGCUGUUCUCCCUGUCAUUUGUGGCAUGACUUAAUUCGCUUCCUCCUCCUCCACUGCAAGCAAGGCUCCUAAAGGGCAGUCCUUAGAAAAAUUCUGAGGGUUCUGUUGGAAAGUAGGGAGGGGAGGCAGCUUGCCUUUUAUCUUGUUUAUCUAGAUCUAGAAGGCAGGUAACCGAUUUAAACACUUACCAGUGACUACCUUAUUUUUCCAAAGAGUGUUGAAGCCAACUGGGGAAACAGUGGGGAUCAGGUCAGAUGAUUUGAUGUAACUGUUGUAACAAAAAAUCUACUCAUCAUCAUCAGAGGGUGACAUAAGAGGCCUGCAGUUUAACUCGGGAUAAGGUGUGACCUGCACACUCUGACAGGGGAACCUGGACCACUGUAAUCAGCAGAUGCCAUGAGGGUCCCAGGCCCAAGGCUGCCAGGUAGUGAGGGCAGCCUGUGCAGUGGGGCUCUGGGUUCUCCACUGGGCUCAACCCCAGCUGCAAAAGGGCGAGGUGUGCCCUUCCAUCCCUGGGUGAGGGCCAGGAACCACCACUGCCCAAUUAACUAUACCUUUAGAGGUACAUCUUAAACACAGAUCACCUGUAAAGCAGUUAAUGUGACUUGAUCAUGGGGGUCCUAAUUAUCCAAUAAACAAGGCCAGCCACAAAACAACCUAACUUGAAGUUUCAAGUCGGCACUUGUCUAUUCCAUUCCUUUCUUGGCCUUUGUCAAACUUAACUCUGGAUAAAGAAACAGUAACAAAACAACAGCAUUCUGCCGCAAAGCCUUUACUUUUGCAGCCCUAUUUCAUCCUUAUCCAAUCGGAAGCUAUUUAUUUAUGCUUUUCUUUCCUGUCGUCUAGACAACAGGCUUCAGGAAAGCAGUUUCUCUCAGGUUGUGAUGCUUAGUAAACACCGACUUCGGCCUUCACACAUGGAGCAACCAAGGAAUCUGUGGAAUCGAACAUGGGCUUACCCUAAAGCUGUGGCUCAGCCUUGGCUGCACACUAGAAUCACCUGGAGAGCCUGUACACUCCCACUGUCCUGGCCACAGCCCAGACAAUCAGAUCAGCCUCCAGGGCGAGGUCCAGACAUCACCAGCCUUAAACCCCCCGAAGGUGACCCGGUAUACAGCCAGGAUGAAACUCACGGCCCUAAAGCUAAAUGGGUAAAGUACUGGGGUGGGGGGCCCCCCACUUGUAGAUGAGGACUUGUAGAAAAGCCAAGUCCUCACUCCUUUUGCAUCACUGACGGGCCUGCUUUACGGGUUAUCUGGAAAGUGAUGGUUGAAAGUGAGUAGAAGGUUGCUAUUGUUUUAAAAAACCAAAGCUCACAAAACCAAGCUCACAAAAGCACUUUUUAUUUGAGGCAAAGAGAAGUCUUGCCGAAAGGAUUAUAGUUCCAAGCAGUCAAAACUCAACUGUUAGUAGCACUAUUUUGACCUGGUAGAUUUUGCUUCUCUUUGGUCAGAAAAGAGUAUUCAGGUUGUACUUUCCCCAGCAGGGCAAAAAGAAGGGCAAAGCAAACUAGAAGAGACUCCUACUCUACUGACAGGGCUCUUCAGAUCCCACAUCAAGCUAGACACGCCCUCGCUGGCCACUCUACAGGUUGCUGUCCUGCUGCCGAGUGACACAGGCCAUACUACAUUUUCAAGAAAAAAAAAUGAGGCAGGAAACACAGGUAUAGGUCACUUAGGGAUGAGCAGGCAUCCACAGCUUCAAAACUCCUCAUGGAAGGGGUAAUCCUUGUGGGAGGCACAGCU